CCUUCCCUAAAACCUUCUCUUCUCACUUCCCUUGGAAACCAAAUUUAAUCAUCAAUCUGUAUCUCCUAUAUUCUUCCCCAAAGCAAACCCUAUACCUAAGGUAGCCAACGUGCUAGGCCUAUGCAGGAGUUUCCUUGGUCUCCACUCUCAGCCUCUUUUCUCCAUGGACGGAUUCAACCACAGAGCCGAUUAGGUAAUGAUGAUGAUGCCAAUUACUCAGUCCCAACGCCAACUGAAUCCUAGCAGAGGUGUGGUUGCCUUUUCGAUUGUCACCGUUGGCAUCACCAGAUGGAUACAAGAAGAGAGAAGUUUUGAUGCUAAGGUUGAUAGUCAUAAGUGGAAAGAUUCCUAAUCCAAUUAAGUUUCCAAUAUAUAUUCUCUUUGGAUCUGCUGAUUUUUCAUACUUUACAUUGUUUUUGGGCAGUACUGGU